UACGUAGGUGGCAAGCGUUGUCCGGAAUUAUUGGGCGUAAAGCGCACGUAGGCGGCUUAGCAAGUCGGAUGUGAAAUCCCUCGGCUCAACCAAGGAAGUGCAUCCGAAACUGCUGAGCUUGAGUACGAAAGAGGAUCGCGGAAUUCCCGGUGUAGAGGUGAAAUUCGUAGAUAUCGGGAGGAACACCAGUGGCGAAGGCGGCGAUCUGGGUCGAUACUGACGCUGAGGUGCGAAAGCGUGGGGAGCAAACAGG
rnacentral:rRNA from 1 species